rnacentral:sRNA from 1 species
CGAAGUAAGCAAUAAUAACUUAUGGGGUGCCUCGGUGUUCCCCCGAGGGACUCGGGACUUAAGCUGGGGAAUUCCAUCCCAUAAGACGCUACUUCA